AAUGAACGCUGGCGGCGCGCCUAAUACAUGCAAGUCGAGCGAGAAGACGUAGCAAUACGUUUGUAAAGCGGCGAACGGGUGAGGAAUACAUGGGUAACCUACCCUCGAGUGGGGAAUAACUAGCCGAAAGGUUAGCUAAUACCGCGUACGCUCCUUGGACUUCGGUUCAGGGAGGAAAGCGAUACCGUGGGUAUCGCGCUCUUGGUUGGGCUCAUGUCCUAUCAGCUUGUUGGUGAGGUAACGGCUCACCAAGGCUUCGACGGGUAGCUGGUCUGAGAGGACGAUCAGCCACACUGGCACUGCGACACGGGCCAGACUCCUACGGGAGGCAGCAGUAAGGAAUAUUGCGCAAUGGGCGAAAGCCUGACGCAGCGACGCCGCGUGGGGGAUGAAGGUCUUCGGAUUGUAAACCCCUUUCGGGAGGGAAGAUGGAACGAGCAAUCGUUCGGACGGUACCUCCAGAAGCAGCCACGGCUAACUUCGUGCCAGCCGCCG
rnacentral:rRNA from 1 species